rnacentral:rRNA from 1 species
UGCGAACUCCUACGGGAGGCAGCAGUGGGGAAUAUUGCACAAUGGGCGAAAGCCUGAUGCAGCGACGCCGCGUGAGGGAUGAAGGCCUUCGGGUUGUAAACCUCUUUCGCUCAUGGUCAAGCCGCAGCUUUGGGUUGUGGUGAGGGUAGUGGGUAAAGAAGCACCGGCUAACUACGUGCCAGCAGCCGCGGUAAUACGUAGGGUGCGAGCGUUGUCCGGAAUUAUUGGGCGUAAAGGGCUUGUAGGCGGUUUGUCGCGUCUGCCGUGAAAUCCUCUGGCUUAACUGGGGGCGUGCGGUGGGUACGGGCAGACUUGAGUGCGGUAGGGGAGACUGGAACUCCUGGUGUAGCGGUGGAAUGCGCAGAUAUCAGGAAGAACACCGGUGGCGAAGGCGGGUCUCUGGGCCGUUACUGACGCUGAGGAGCGAAAGCGUGGGGAGCGAACAGGAUUAGAUACCCCUGUAGUCCUAUC